UACGGAGGGUGCAAACGUUGUUCGGAAUCACUGGGCGUAAAGCGUACGUAGGCGGAUUGUUAAGUCAGGGGUGAAAUCCUGAGGCUCAACCUCAGAACUGCCUUCGAUACUGGCAAUCUCGAGUCCGGAAGAGGCGAGUGGAAUUCCUGGUGUAGCGGUGAAAUGCGCAGAUAUCAGGAGGAACACCAAUUGCGAAGGCGGCCCUCUGGACGGGAUACUGACGCUGAGACGCGAAAGCGUGGGGGAGCAAACAGG
rnacentral:rRNA from 1 species